AACGAACGCUGGCGGCAGGCCUAACACAUGCAAGUCGAACGCGCGUAGCAAUACGCGAGUGGCGCACGGGUGAGUAACACGUGGGAAUCAACCCUGAGGUUCGGAAUAACCGCGGGAAACUGCGGCUAAUACCGGAUGUCCCCUAUGGGGAAGGAUUUAUCGCCUUGGACGAGCCCGCGUCCGAUUAGCUAGUUGGUGAGGUAAUGGCUCACCAAGGCUACGAUCGGUAGCAGUCUGAGAGGAUGACCAGCCACACUGGAACUGAGAUACGGUCCAGACUCCUACGGGAGGCAGCAGUGGGGAAGUAUUGGG
rnacentral:rRNA from 1 species